UUGAUCCUGGCUCAGAUCGAACGCUGGCGGCGUGGCUAAAACAUGCAAGUCGCACGGAAAGGCGGCUUCUGACCCUUCGGGUGACGAAGCUGUACUCAAGUGGCGAAAGGGCGAGGAAUACAUGGAUAACGUGCCUUUGGCAUGGGGACAGCUGAGGGAAACUUCAGGUAAUACCCAAUGAGACCACAGUGCUUUCGGGCACAGGGGUCAAAGAUGGGGCUCCUUCGGGACCUAUCGGCCAUAGAGCGGUCCAUGUCCUAUCAGCUUGUUGGUGAGGUAAUGGCUCACCAAGGCGACGACGGGUACCGGGACUGAGAGGUUGACCCGGCGCAUCGGGACUGAGACACUGCCCGGACUCCUACGGGAGGCUGCAGUAACGAAUAUUGGUCAAUGGGCGAAAGCCUGAACCAGCGACGCCGCGUGUGGGAGGAAGCCCCUCGGGGUGUAAACCACUGUCAGGGAUUACCAAGCAAUGGAGGCUAAUACCCUCCUGCGUUGAGGCGUCCCAGAGGAAGUCACGGCUAACUUCGUGCCAGCAGCCGCGGUAAUACGAAGGUGGCGAGCGUUGUUCGGAAUCACUGGGCUUAAAGAGCACGUAGGCGGACUGCCAAGCGUCUUGUGAAAUCCCCCGGCUCAACCGGGGAAUUGCUGGGCGAACUGGUAGUCUUGAGGCAAGUAGGGGCAGAUGGAACUCUUGGUGGAGCGGUGGAAUGCGUAGAUAUCAAGAGGAACGCCAGAGGCGAAGGCGAUCUGCUGGGCUUGACCUGACGCUGAGGUGCGAAAGCCAGGGGAGCAAACGGGAUUAGAUACCCCGGCAGUCCUGGCCAUAAACGAUGUCCACUAGAUCGGUGAACUUCUGACAGUGUGCCGGUCGAAACCAAAAGCGUUAAGUGGACCGCCUGGGGAGUACGGUC
rnacentral:rRNA from 1 species